GCCGCCGUCUCGUCCCUCCCCAGCGCGUCGCGUUUCACUAGCGCAGAAUGUGAGGUCUUGGUCCUCGGCGCUGUCUCCCUCCAGGUAAUCUUUCUCCUCUUGGUCAGUGAGCGCCUCCAUUCUCCACUCUCACGUUCAAGUGUUUUCCGCUUUUCAAACUCAUGCAAACUGUUACACACUGGACGUUUGGGGGCUCCUGGACUCAGAAAACUAUACAUCAGUGAACGAAAAAUAAGUCACUGCCUCUAUUUACGACGAAACAUGAAAUGAAGAUUAUUUACUGUGCCAAA